GCAGUCGAGCGGAAACGAUGAUAGCUUGCUAUCAGGCGUCGAGCGGCGGACGGGUGAGUAAUACUUAGGAAUCUACCUAGUAGUGGGGGAUAGCUCGGGGAAACUCGAAUUAAUACCGCAUACGUCCUACGGGAGAAAGCAGGGGAUCAUUAGACCUUGCGCUAUUAGAUGAGCCUAAGUCGGAUUAGCUAGAUGGUGGGGUAAAGGCCUACCAUGGCGACGAUCUGUAGCUGGUCUGAGAGGAUGAUCAGCCACACCGGGACUGAGACACGGCCCGGACUCCUACGGGAGGCAGCAGUGGGGAAUAUUGGACAAUGGGGGGAACCCUGAUCCAGCCAUGCCGCGUGUGUGAAGAAGGCCUUUUGGUUGUAAAGCACUUUAAGCAGUGAAGAAGACUCUUCGGUUAAUACCCGGGGACGAUGACAUUAGCUGCAGAAUAAGCACCGGCUAACUCUGUGCCAGCAGCCGCGGUAAUACAGAGGGUGCAAGCGUUAAUCGGAAUUACUGGGCGUAAAGCGAGCGUAGGUGGCUUGAUAAGUCAGAUGUGAAAUCCCCGGGCUUAACCUGGGAACUGCAUCUGAAACUGUUAGGCUAGAGUAGGUGAGAGGGAAGUAGAAUUUCAGGUGUAGCGGUGAAAUGCGUAGAGAUCUGAAGGAAUACCGAUGGCGAAGGCAGCUUCCUGGCAUCAUACUGACACUGAGGCUCGAAAGCGUGGGUAGCAAACAGGAUUAGAUACCCUGGUAGUCCACGCCGUAAACGAUGUCUACUAGUCGUUGGGUCCCUUGAGGACUUAGUGACGCAGCU
rnacentral:rRNA from 1 species